rnacentral:rRNA from 1 species
GGAUGCGAUCAUACUAACAAGAAUGUAAUGGAUCGCAUAAGAACUCGGAAGUUAAGUGUGCUUAGCCGAGUAUAGUAUUAGGAUGUGUGACUUCAUGGAGAGUCCUCAUAUUGCAUCUU